UGCCCACCCAACGCGAAGACGGUAACCC
rnacentral:piRNA from 1 species